rnacentral:rRNA from 1 species
UACGGAAGGUGCAAGCGUUAUCCGGAAUCACUGGGUUUAAAGGGUGCGUAGGCGGCGCAGUAAGUCAGAAGUGAAAGCUCACAGCUUAACUGUGGAAUUGCUUUUGAUACUGCUGUGCUUGAAUUAGGUUGAGGUUGGCGGAAUGAGUCAUGUAGCGGUGAAAUGCAUAGAUAUGACUUAGAACAUCGAUUGCGAAGGCAGCUGGCUAGACCUUAAUUGACGCUGAGGCACGAAAGCGUGGGGAGCGAACAGGAUUAGAUACCCGGGUAGUCC